ensembl:lncRNA
CAAGGGGAAGGGCGAAUUGAAAAAUUACUUGGUCUUUUUGACCACAUGGGUAAUUCUGUUGAGAGCAGUUGUGCAGUUCUAGAGAGCUUGGGAACAAUGGAUGUAGGGACACAUAGAUAACAGAGUAAAGAAAGAGGAAGGACGAGGAGGAGGAGGAGAGGAAGCAGAAGAAAAGAUAAGAAGAAUAAGUCUGAAAGAGUGCAGGGAUCGAACUUGGGACCUUGCACUUGUGAAGCAGGCAGCAGCACCACUGAGCUAAAUCCCUGUCCCCUGAGACAUUAAAGAUUCUUUUGUUGUU